GUGCGCGGAGCCACCUGCGCGCCGCUCUAUUCCUGGCAGCGGCGUCUGCGCGCGGCGUAACGACCCAGGUCGCGGCGCGGCGGGGCUUGAGCGCGUGGCCGGUGCCGCAGGAGCCCAGCAUGGAGUACCAGGAUGCCGUGCGCAUGCUCAAUACCCUACAGACCAAUGCCGGCUACCUGGAGCAGGUGAAGCGCCAGCGGGGUGACCCCCAGACACAGCUGGAAGCCAUGGAACUGUACCUGGCACGGAGUGGGCUGCAGGUGGAGGACUUGGAUCGGCUGAACAUCAUCCACGUCACUGGGACGAAGGGGAAGGGCUCCACCUGUGCCUUCACGGAAUGUAUCCUCCGAAGCUAUGGCCUGAAGACGGGAUUCUUUAGCUCUCCCCACCUGGUGCAGGUUCGGGAGCGGAUCCGCAUCAAUGGGCAGCCCAUCAGUCCUGAGCUCUUCACCAAGUACUUCUGGCACCUCUACCACCGGCUGGAAGAGACCAAGGAUGGCAGCUGUGUCUCCAUGCCCCCCUACUUCCGCUUCCUGACACUCAUGGCCUUCCACGUCUUCCUCCAAGAGAAGGUGGACCUGGCAGUGGUGGAGGUGGGCAUUGGCGGGGCUUAUGACUGCACCAACAUCAUCAGGAAGCCUGUGGUGUGUGGAGUCUCCUCUCUUGGCAUCGACCACACCAGCCUCCUGGGGGAUACGGUGGAGAAGAUCGCAUGGCAGAAAGGGGGCAUCUUUAAGGUGACCAGGCAGACUGGGGGAAGGGAGAGACAUGGAAGGCCUGGGCGUCUACGUUUUCAUCCUGGCUUCACUGUGUGACUGGAACAAGUUGAGUCUCCUCUCCAGACUGUUUCCCCAUUGAAACUUGAGGGAUGGCUGGGCAUGGUGGCUUAUAUGCUUGC
rnacentral:sRNA from 1 species